GAAGGCACAGUAGCGCGAUCUAUAAACAAACAAAGGGGUGGCAUGGUAACCAGAACAAAGAGAAAUCUCAGCUCCCUGACACCCAGCUCCAGCGGUGUCCACAUGUGGACAGACCCAGCCUUACACCGCAGGAACGCCUACAGAAAAGUAAUCUCUUGGGAAUUACAAAUCAUUUUUAAAAGACUUCAGAAUAUCAAAGGACUGACUGAUGUGAACCUCUGCUAUGAAUUUUCUGGAAUGGCAUCACUACUUCAAAAUUUCAGUGGAGGAAAUGACAGAUAGUACAAUAUGCUGAAAUACUCAGAAUCCUUCCCAAACAAGAAUGCUGAUCUAUAUAUUGUUAAUACUUCAUGAUUUUGCAACUAGUCUACAUUUCAAAAUAAUGAAAAUAAAGGGAUUUUCCUGGCUAUGAUUUACUUUUUUAAAAAAGUAUCUUUUUCCAGCACAGUAAAUGCAUGUAUCACAAGGUGUUUUUAAGGAAAGGUGAUGAGCAUAACCUAGCAACCUUAAGAGGUUCAGUAGAAAGUACUCCUGCCUUUACUAGUUUUUUUUUUUACCCUUUUCUUCAUUAAAUGCAAUAAAAUUGGCAAGCUGAAAAAUAGAGCAUGCAGCACCUGCCUUUAGAAAUUUUGCUGUGAUUUUCAGUGUUAGGACAAUUUUAAUCUGGCAGCACAUAGUUUAUUGCUUCUAAAAGCAACUUAUAAAUAAUUUAUUAAAACAGAAAGGUUUAUUUGCUUGCAUGCAACCAGCAUUUAAGCCAUUUCUCAAUUUUGAUCAGCAUUCAGUAAGGACAGAUAAUGAAUCACAUUCCCAACAGCAUCAAAGUAAGAACACUUGGCAUCCUCUGAAGUGAAGAUGAAACAUGUCGAG